rnacentral:rRNA from 1 species
UACGUAGGGGGCAAGCGUUGUCCGGAUUUAUUGGGCGUAAAGGGCUCGUAGGCGGCCAACUAAGUCAGACGUGAAAUCCCUCGGCUUAACCGGGGAACUGCGUCUGAUACUGGAUGGCUUGAGAUUGGGAGAGGGAUGCGGAAUUCCAGGUGUAGCGGUGAAAUGCGUAGAUAUCUGGAGGAACACCGGUGGCGAAGGCGGCAUCCUGGACCAACACUGACGCUGAGUGAGCGAAAGCCAGGGGAGCAAACGGG